rnacentral:rRNA from 1 species
AUUGAACGCUGGCGGCGUGCUUUACACAUGCAAGUCGGACGAGUGGCGAACGGGUGAGUAACGCAUCGGAACGUACCGAGUAACGGGGGAUAACUGGCCGAAAGGACAGCUAAUACACAAAAUUAUUCGAGAGGCCGAUGUCUGAUUAGCUGGUUGGCGGGGUAAAGGCCCACCAAGGCGACGAGCAGUAGCGGGUCUGAGAGGAUGAUCCGCCACACUGGGACUGAGACACGGCCCAGACGCCUACGGGAGGCAGCAUUGGGGAAGUUUGGACACUGGGCGCAAGCCGGAUCCAGCCAUGCCGCGUGUCUGAAGAAGGCCUUCGGGUUGUAAAGGACUUGUGUCAGGGAAGCGGUACCUGAAGAAUAAGCACCGGCUAACUACGUGCCAGCAGCCGCGGUAAUUC